AACGAACGCUGGCGGCAUGCCUAACACAUGCAAGUCGAACGAUCCCUCCGGGGUUAGUGGCGCAAGGGUGCGUAACGCGUGGGAUAAUGCCCUUAGGAUCGGCCUAUCUCAGUGAAAUAUGCGCUAAUACCGGAUAAUGUCUUCGGACCAAAGAUUUCUCGCCUUUGGAUGGGCUCGCGUUGGAUUGGCGAGUUGGUGGGGUAAAGGCCUACCCAGGCGACGAUUCAUAGCUGGUCUGAGCGAAGGAGCAGCCACACUGGGGCUGAGACACGGCCCAGACUCGGACGGGAGGGAGCGGAGUGUAAUAGAGGGGAAGCGGCGAAGGCCUGAGGCCGCAGCGCCGGGGGAGAGAUGAAGGCGGUAGGAAUGUUAAGCUCGUUUACCCGGGAUGAUAAUGACGGUACCGGGAGAAGAAGCCCCGGCUAACUACGUG
rnacentral:rRNA from 1 species